AACGAACGCUGGCGGCAGGCCUAACACAUGCAAGUCGAACGAUGUAGCAAUACAUAGUGGCGCACGGGUGAGUAACGCGUGGGAAUGUACCUUUUGGUGGGGAACAACUCCGGGAAACUGGAGCUAAUACCGCAUACGCCCUUCGGGGGAAAGAUUUAUCGCCAAAAGAUCAGCCCGCGUGAGAUUAGAUAGUUGGUGGGGUAAUGGCCUACCAAGUCUACGAUCUCUAGCUGGUCUUAGAGGAUGACCAGCCACACUGGAACUGAGACACGGUCCAGACUCCUACGGGAGGCAGCAGUGGGGAAUAUUGGGCAAUGGGCGCAAACCUGACCCAGCCAUGCCGCGUGAGUGAUGAAGGCUCUAGGGUUGUAAAGCUCUUUCGCCGAUGAAGAUAAUGACGGUAGUCGGAGAAGAAGCCCCGGCUAACUUCGUGCCAGCCGCCGCCGUAA
rnacentral:rRNA from 1 species